rnacentral:rRNA from 1 species
AUGGUGUUGCUUGACAUUAGGGGUAUGUUACAGUCUAUGGGUAAAGACAUUAUUGAUUUCACUCUUCCAACGAUCGAUGAUGCGUUUGACCCAACCGAGGGCGAGGCCAGAGAGAUCAUCGAGGAAUCAACCGUUGAUUUUGACGAAAGUGACACUAAAUUGUCAUCUUCCCUGAAUUUGGAGCAAAGGGCUGCAUAGGACAAGAUACUAGCGGUUGUUGAACGCGGUGAUGGGGGUAUAUUCUUUGUUGAUGGCCCUGGAGGUACGGGGAAGACCUUCCUCUACAGGGAGAUGCUCGCCAAGGUGAGGGGCGAGGGCAAGAUUGCUAUCGCUACCGCGACGUCGGGCGUCGCUGCUUCUAUCAUGCCUGGCGGCAGGACUGCCCACUCGAGGUUCAAAAUCCCACUGAGUUGCGAUGAUGGAGCCUCGUGCAGCUUCACCAAGCAGAGUGGGACCGCCAAGCUGCUAAGGAUGGCCUCAUUGAUACUAUGGGACGAGGCUAGCAUGACUAAGCGACAAGCGGUUGAGGCAUUAGACAAUAGCAUGCGCGACAUCAUGGGAAUACGCGACCGACCCUUUGGAGGAAAGACUGUUGUUUUUGGCGGGGACUUUAGGCAGGUGCUUCCGGUCGUCAGAAGGGGGUCACGGGGAUAG